UACAGAGGGUGCGAGCGUUGUCCGGAAUUAUUGGGCGUAAAGAGCUCGUAGGCGGUUUGUUGCGUCGGCCGUGAAAACUCAGGGCUUAACUCUGAGCCUGCGGUCGAUACGGGCAGACUUGAGUUCGGUAGGGGAGACUGGAAUUCCUGGUGUAGCGGUGAAAUGCGCAGAUAUCAGGAGGAACACCGGUGGCGAAGGCGGGUCUCUGGGCCGAUACUGACGCUGAGGCACGAAGGCCAGGGGAGCAAACGGG
rnacentral:rRNA from 1 species